AUGGUCUGUUGCUCUUCGGGUGGGGGAGGGAAGGUCUUUUGAGUGCCUGUGGUUUCUAGCCAAGGGCGAGCAAUUUGACCAGUUUAACCAGAGCAGGCUGCUAGAGAAUUCUUCUGCAAGCUGUCCUGGGAUGGUGAAAGCUUUGACUCUGAAGGUCUUGUCCAAGAAAUUCCCAAAGGUUCCACAUCACCGUGAAUUCUACAUUUUUCUUUUUGGAGCAGAUAAAUGAUUUUGUCUAGAAGAGGCCCCAGAGUUGCAAGGAGGAAGGAGAGAAUGAAAUUUUUCUAGUCGAAAUUCAGUCAUCACUUCACGGCUCUGCAAGAAUGAGGGGGGGGGAGGUGUUAGUGGCAUAGAACCAACUAUAAUAGCUUCGGCUCUGUGAACCUCUUUAUACAUCUUGGAAUUUUUGAGGCUGAGCUUGUCUGUGCCAAGACACACUUGGGCAAUACAACCUGAGAAAACAAAGUUUUAAAUAAAGCACCCUGACAUCCUUUUCUGAUGACACAUGCCAUUCGGUAAUAGACCCGGCUUACGUCUUUCCUCCCGGAUCAGGAGGCUGCACCAUCGUCUGUAUCUGGUCCCAAAUCAGGAAGAACGUUGGGCUUGGCUUUUCCCCUUAUAUUCUCUGCAGCAAUGGAUCCAAGAGGCAAGGUGGAAAAUUCAUACAUCACCCCCUUGGGUUGAGAGUUCGGGGGGAGUCUGUUCCUGUUCCCUUGGUUUCUAAACAUAAAUAUGGGUGAAGACUUGGGGCUGAGAAUGGGCAAUGUGGUGAAGUCCUUCUGGACCCCAAGAAAGGUGGAGUGAUCCCUCCUUCAUCCGGAGAAGUGACCCAGGAAACUCAAAGUCAUCUUUUUGGAGGCCGAGCACAGGCAGAGUUCCAUGUUAGCUAUGAGGGCCAAAACUCAGAGUUAAUAUGAUUUUCUACCAGUUUAAACAUUCUAAUUAAAUACCUGGAUUUAUUUUUUUUUUAGAAGAAUGCAAAUGGAACAUUUAUUUCAGCCCUAGAAAUAACUGUAUCUUUGGCUUGUAUUAGAGGCUGUUGGUCUCCCUAGCUCUGCUUGAAAUUCACAACAUGGGAAUUUGCAGCAUUUUCAUAAAAGCAAUUGAAAUUAUGGCACCUCCAUGAACUCCCAGGGUGAAUUUCUAUUAACAAAAGAUGUUUUGCUUUACUCACACCUGCUCGGUUCUCCGUAGGGGCUCAAGCGAUACACAUUCCAAUGGAGCGGCGUCAAUAAAAUCAAAUAAAAAUUAAGUUGCAGGGGAUGGAAUGGAGAUAUUCAACAUCACCACACAACGUCCACCGGAAAAGGAGCUGAGUUAUUGGAACUGGCUUUUUAAGCAGAAAAAUAGUUACAGAAAAAUAGAUUUUUCAACACUAAGUCAUGCAAGUUUGACUUGGUAGAAUUCUCUAUCUGCCAACUUAAACACAUCUUCCCAGGGUCUCUCUCUCUUUGUGUAUGUGUGUAUGUGUAUGUGAGGGAAGGGAAGGCAACAGGGAUGGGAAACAUUUGGAAGAGGUAGGAGAAAAGGAGAAAAGGACUAGCAAGAUAGGAAUUUCUUUUUCCACUUUACAUGUUACUGGAAAGAAUUAGAGAGCUUUCCUGAAGUCUGAGUCUGUUCAUGUGUUUAUAUUCAUUAGAUUAUGGUCUUAAGGAGUUCCUGUCAUGGCAUAGUGGAAACGAAACCGACUAGGAACCAGGAGGUUGAGGGUUUGAUCCCUGGCCUCACUCAGUGGGUUAAGGAUCCGGCAUUGCUGUGAGCUGUGGUGUAGGUCGCAGAUGAGGGUUGGAUCCUGCACUGCUGUGGCUAUUGUGUAGGCUGGCAGCUGUAGCUCAGAUUUGAUCCCUAGCCUGGGAACCUCCAUAUGCCGCAGGUACAGCCCUAAAAAGCAAAAAGAAAAAAAAUUAUGGUCUUAAGAAAACGUAUGUUUCUUCACUCAAAGUGCAUGAAAUCCCACUUCUCUUAAGAGGCCCUCUCUCUACCGGAAAACAAGGGAAGAACUCAAUUCCCCUAGGGGCCAAUACAUUCGUUUUUAGACACAAUAUUAAUAAAUCUAAGGUUUGACUAUUGUUCUGAGAGUCAUGAAACAUCUGAAGAGUAUGGCAUUAAUAGUCUUUCCCCCCAACACAAACUCACAUGGAACAUACAGAAUUACAAGCGAAAGGCAAGGUGGCUCCCCUUCAAAGAGGUGACUCCCUUUGGAGAAGGAAUAUGGCAAAUAUGUGAAUGAUAGGAAAAUUUUAUUUGUGGGAAAUAAAAUGUCCUUGUUAAUUACAAUUUCCUGGUAUUUUCAAAGGGAGGGAGAUCCUAAGGAAGCAGUUAGGGUGAGGUGAUGGGUGUGAGGAUGGGGGGCUGGGGAGCCUCUGGAGGGAAUGUCCACUGAUCUGCACAGGAAGAGGGUACACUGGAGGAUGGUGGGGGGAAGGGGUCUGGGAAUCAGGAAAGGCUGGCUCAGAGCUAUGAAGGGAAAAGAAGGAGAGCCAGGUGAAGCUGCUGGUGGCUGAAGAGAAGCUCUGGAAGGGGAACAGAGAUGCACAGCAGGGAGUUUUAUUGACUUAAAAAAAAAACUGAAGUAAGGUUAAUUUACAAUGUGUUAAUUUCGUGUGUACAGCAAAGUGAUUCAGUUUUAUAUAUAUUUAUUUCUCAGUUAUAUAUAUAUAUUUUUUUUCAGAUUCUUUUUUUCCCUUAUAGGUUAUUACAAAAUAUUGAGUAUAGUUCCCUGUGCUAUACAGUAGGUCCUUGUUGUUUCUUUUACAUACAGUAGUCUGUAUAUUUUAAGUUAAAACUCUUAAUUUAUCUCUUCCCCUUAAUUUAUCUCUCCCCUUUGGUAACCACACGUCCAUGGGCCUAUUUCUGUUUUGUAAAUAAGUUCAUUUGUAUCAUUUUUUUUAAAGAUUCCACCAUAUAAGCAAUGUCAUGUACUUGUCUUUCUCUUUCUGACUUACACCACUUAGAAAUAAACUAAUGGUUACCAAAGGGGAAAGGUGGUGGGGAUGGAUAAAGUAGGAAUUUGGGGAUGGAUAAAGUAUAUACAAACUACUAUAUAUAAAACACAUUAACAAGGGCCUAGUGUACAGCACAAGGAACUAUGCUGAAUAUCCUGUAAGAAACCAUAAUGGAAAAGAACAAGAAAAAAUACAUACGACUGAGUCACUUUGCUGGAUGAUAGAAACAGACACAACAUUGUAAAUAAACUAUACUUCAAUAAAAAUGAUAAAUAAUAAAAAUAAAAAAGAACUCAAUUCACUUUAUACACCAUUUAGCUGAGUGCUUCUAACCUGAAUUAUGGAACCUUAAUUAACCUUAAUUAUGGAACAAUUUCAGAAAGGUGACACCCAUGGCAACCCAUGUCCACGUAACACUCAAUAUGGCGGAGGUACACAAAAUAUAUAUCUCAUAGAAGAUAAUACAUUUUGACCAAGGGUAAAGCUGUACUCAACCAGAAAUUCAGGAGAAUAAAAGAUUAUUGAUUUUUUUUUUCAGAGCCACUGCUUUUAGGAACCCAUUAAGCAAAAGUAGCCACUUUUCUGACGUGGAAAAUAUGGUCCAAAGAGCAAAAUGGAAGCUGGGCAAGCAUUUUAGGGUCUCACUCUAAAAACCAUUUGGAUGGAAGAGACUGGGUCAAAAGUGUAUGAACUCAAGGUGGCCACCAAAAUUUGCUCUAAAACAAACAAACAAAUAACAAACCAACCAACCUAGGUUCUUAGAGAAUUUUGAUGGUAGUGAAUGUUUUGUGAAAAGACCAGGUAAAGUGGAAAAGGUUCAUAAUCGAGCAUUCUAAUAAGCUAGGUUUUUCUCUCUCCAGUUUCCCAAACAUGGAUAGGAAGUUAGAACCCUGAACAUUUGAACAUUUGAUAUAACAUCCAUUGUUUCUUGGCGUCCAGGUCCUAAGCUUGGCC
rnacentral:lncRNA from 1 species